CCAGACUCCUACGGGAGGCAGCAGUGAGGAAUAUUGGUCAAUGGGCGCGAGCCUGAACCAGCCAAGUCGCGUGAGGGAUGACGGUCCUACGGAUUGUAAACCUCUUUUGCCGGGGAGCAAGCGUGCGUUCGUGAACGCGCGUCGAGAGUACCCGGAGAAAAAGCAUCGGCUAACUCCGUGCCAGCAGCCGCGGUAAUACGGAGGAUGCGAGCGUUAUCCGGAUUUAUUGGGUUUAAAGGGUGCGUAGGCGGAGGCUUAAGUCAGCGGUAAAAUUGCGGGGCUCAACCUCGUCGAGCCGUUGAAACUGGGGAUCUAGAGUGUGCGAGAGGUAUGCGGAAUGCGUGGUGUAGCGGUGAAAUGCAUAGAUAUCACGCAGAACUCCGAUUGCGAAGGCAGCAUACCGGCGCCCAACUGACGCUGAAGCACGAAAGCGUGGGUAUCGAACAGGAUUAGAUACCCCUGUAACA
rnacentral:rRNA from 1 species